rnacentral:rRNA from 1 species
CCUACGGGAGACAGCAGUGAGGAAUAUUGGUCAAUGGCCGGAAGGCUGAACCAGCCAUGCCGCGUGAAGGUCAGUGCCCUAUGGGCGUUAAACUUCUUUUGUGCGGGAGCAAUAAUGGUCACGUGUGGCCAGACGAGAGUACCGUACGAAUAAGCAUCGGCUAACUCCGUGCCAGCAGCCGCGGUAAUACGGGGGAUGCAAGCGUUAUCCGGAUUUAUUGGGGUGAAGGGGUGCGUAGGCGGUGAGGUAAGUCAGCGGUGAAAUGCCGCCGGUCAACGGGGUGAAGUGCCAUUGAUACUGCCUUGCUGGAAUGCGGAUGCCGUGGGAGGAAUGUGUGGUGUAGCGGUGAAAUGCAUAGAUAUCAGACAGAACACCGAUUGCGAAGGCAUCUCACGAAUCCGCGAUUGACGCUGAUGCACGAAAGCGUGGGUAUCAAACAGGAUUAGAUACCCGAGUAGUC